rnacentral:rRNA from 1 species
CAGGGAAUAUUGGUAAUCUGCGAAAGCGGGAACCAGCGACGCCGCGUGUGCGAUGAAGGUCUUCGGAUCGUAAAGCACUUUUCGAGGAGAUGAGGAAGGACAGUAUCCUCGGAAUAAGUCUCGGCUAACUACGUGCCAGCAGCCGCGGUAAAACGUAGGAGGCAAGCGUUAUCCGGAUUUACUGGGCGUAAAGCGCGUGCAGGCGGUUCGGUAAGUUGGAUGUGAAAGCUCCUGGCUCAACUGGGAGAGGUCGUUCAAUACUACUGGACUUGAGGAUGGUAGAGGGAGGUGGAAUUCCGGGUGUAGUGGUGAAAUGCGUAGAUAUCCGGAGGAACACCAGUGGCGAAAGCGGCCUCCUGGACCAUUUCUGACGCUCAGACGCGAAAGCUAGGGUAGCAAACGGG